GACAGAGGAUGCAAGCGUUAUCCGGAAUGAUUGGGCGUAAAGCGUCUGUAGGUGGCGUUUUCAAGUCCGCCGUCAAAUCCCCAGGGCUCAACCCUGGACAGGCGGUGGAAACUACCAAGCUGGAGUACGGUAGGGGCAGAGGGAAUUUCCGGUGGAGCGGUGAAAGUGCAUUGAGAUCGGAAAGAACACCAACGGCGAAAGCACUCGUGCUAGGCCGACACUGACACUGAGAGACGAAAGCUAGGGGAGCAAAUGGG
rnacentral:rRNA from 1 species